AUUGAACGCUGGCGGCACGCCUAACACAUGCAAGUCGAGCGGUAACAUGGGUAGUAGCAAUACUAUUUGAUGACGAGCGGCGGACGGGUGAGGAACACGUAGGAAUCUGCCUUAAAGAGUGGGAUAACCAGAGGAAACUUUGGCUAAUACCGCAUGAACUCGAGAGAGAAAAGCUGCCUGCAAAGGUGGCGCUUUAAGAGGAGCCUGCGUCCGAUUAGCUAGUUGGUGAGGUAAAUGCUCACCAAGGCGAUGAUCGGUAACUGGUCUGAGAGGACGGACAGUCACACUGGGACUGAGACACGGCCCAGACUCCUACGGGAGGCAGCAGUGGGGAAUCUUGGACAAUGGGGGCAACCCUGAUUCAGCGAUGCCGCGUGGGUGAAGAAGGCCUUCGGGUUGUAAAGCCCUUUAGGCUGGGAAGAAGAUUGGUGGUUUAAGAGACAAUCAAUUUGACUGUACCAGCAGAAUAAGCACCGGCAAACUCUGUGCCAGCCGCCGCGGUAA
rnacentral:rRNA from 1 species